rnacentral:rRNA from 1 species
GUGUGCCUACAAGUAGUCAGAGCCCGUUAACGGGUGAUGGCGUGCCUUUUGUAGAAUGAACCGGCGAGUUACGAUCCCGUGCAAGGUUAAGCAGAAGAUGCGGAGCCGCAGCGAAAGCGAGUCUGAAUAGGGCGAAUUGAGUACGUGGUCGGAGACCCGAAACCAGGUGAUCUACCCAUGUCCAGGGUGAAGUUCAGGUAACACUGAAUGGAGGCCCGAACCCACGCACGUUGAAAAGUGCGGGGAUGAGGUGUGGGUAGGGGUGAAAUGCCAAUCGAACCUGGAGAUAGCUGGUUCUCUCCGAAAUAGCUUUAGGGCUAGCCUCAAGGUAAGAGUCUCGGAGGUAGAGC